rnacentral:rRNA from 1 species
GACGAACGCUGGCGGCGUGCCUAAUACAUGCAAGUCGAACGCAAAACUUUCACCGAAUGCUUGCAUUCACGAAAGUUUUGAGUGGCGAACGGGUGAGUAACACGUGGGUAACCUGCCCAGAAGAGGGGGAUAACACUUGGAAACAGGUGCUAAUACCGCAUAAUAACAAAAACCGCAUGGUUUUUGUUUGAAAGAUGGUUUUGCUAUCACUUCUGGAUGGACCCGCGGCGUAUUAGCUAGUUGGUAAGGUAAAGGCUUACCAAGGCAAUGAUACGUAGCCGAACUGAGAGGUUGAUCGGCCACAUUGGGACUGAGACACGGCCCAAACUCCUACGGGGGGCAGCAGUAGGGAAUCUUCCACAAUGGACGAAAGUCUGAUGGAGCAACGCCGCGUGAGUGAAGAAGGUUUUCGGAUCGUAAAACUCCGUUGUUAGAGAAGAACGUGUGUGAGAGUAACUGCUCAUGCAGUGACGGUAUCUAACCAGAAAGCCACGGCUAACUACGUGCCAGCAGCCGCAGUAA